AGCACCCCUCAAUCAGUAUUUGGCGGAAACUGGUAUAUAACACCCCUCAAUCAGUAUUUGUCAGAAACAGGUAUAUAGCACCCCUCAAUCAGAAUUUGGUGGAAACAGGUAUAUUGCACCCCUCAAUCAGUAUUUUGUGGAA